GAUGAACGCUAGCUACAGGCUUAACACAUGCAAGUCGAGGGACCGGCGCACGGGUGAGUCACACGUAUCCAACCUGUCCUUUACUCGUGGCUAGCCUUUCGAAAGAAAGAUUAAUACCCGAUAUAAAGGAUGGGGAUGCGUUCCUUUAGGUUGUUGGUGAGGUAACGGCUAACCAAGCAUUCGAAGGAUAGGGGUGCGGAGAGGAAGGUCCCCCGCACGGGAACUGAGGCACGGUCCAAACUCCGACGGGAGGCAGGAGUGAAGAAUAUUGGUGGAGGGACGCUGGCCUGAACCAGCCAAGUAGCGUGAAGGAUGAAUGCUUAUGGGUCGUAAACUACUUUUAUAUAAGAAUAGGUAUUAUAUGAAUAAGGAUCGGCUAACUCCGUGCCAGCAGCCGCGGUAAUAC
rnacentral:rRNA from 1 species